rnacentral:lncRNA from 1 species
AAUUGAUGGGAGUAGGAAAAAAGGCUGAAAAAAACAUCUAAGCAGGGAAUGUCAAGGCAGAUGAAUAGGCAGGGUGGUGUCCUGCGUAAAGGUCCUGGUAAACAUGAGUGCUAGUGAUUACAGACUUUUCUUCUUUCUUUUUCUAUCAUUUAGGAUAUAAGUGAAAUUCAAGAUAUUUCUGGCUCUCAGCAAGCCAUGCCUGGACGACAAGAAAAAGAUGAGCUGUGCUACUGUCUGAGCAAUUGGUACAAGAAGCAGGGACUCAUCACCGAGGAAAUCAGAGCUUCCUUGGGAAAGGUCCAGCCAAAUGGAUGCGGGAGUGAACAAGGCGUGCCACAGGAAUGUCCACAGGGGAACAAAUUUUCUCUUGUUCUAUUUGAAUUGGGGGCAUGGACUGAACCUCUAGAGGCUCCAGCUAGGACUUUCAGUUCCAGGUCUGCAUGUAAGAGGCUUGGAAAUCUCCCUUCCAUCCUAACAACAAGUAAAAAGCUGAACAGACUGAAAAAUCAACUCUUCCUGGGUCCAUAAGAGAGCAGAGGACACAGGGCAAACUGCCACCCCCAACACUGGGGGCGCAGACAGGGGAAUACAGGGAUUCACAGUUCCUCUGAGUGGAGACUCAUGAGCAGCAACCAUGGCGGAAACCAGUGCUGGGGGACGAAAACCUGAACUGUAAUUGACGAAUUACUGGAGGCCCAGUGCAGACAAGUUCGUGAGUUACAAACUCCAGGGGGACCCAGUCACACGGGGCCCCCCCAAUAUUGUGAGAUUUACCUCCAAGAGCUCAACCUGAUUCCCACGCCAAAUAUGGGAGAAAAAUUCCCUCCAGCUUCUGGCAGGGGCAGAAGAAAAGGAACCAGUGUGAAAUACCAUGGAACACUCUAUUCUUAACAAGCCUUCCCUCAGGGAAACCAGUUAACCAGAGCCUAACCUGCUAGGGUAUUCAAAACUUAACUAACCUGGGGGAAGGGAAAUGCCCAACUCCAGCCCACUCUAACCAUCCUGUCCUACCUAAGGGGAGAGAAAAAACUGAGAAACACUUGAGAAGCUCACAGUCCAGCAUCACAGGUCACUAAGAGCCUGAGACUGAAUCAUAGGACUGCAGAAUGCUUCCCUCCCCCAGAGCUCACCACCACGUCACUAAAGACCUGUUUACAGCAGUUCCUUUUGUCUGGUACAUCACAUUCGGCUAAAGGAAAAAAUUACAAGGCAUACCAAAUAGCAAAAAAAUAAAAAAUAAAACAAUUUGAAGAGACA